GCCAGCAGGCAUAUCACCCUGCAGCCCACUGAAGCUCAGCAGGUGUGAGCCUGGUCAGUACCUGGAUGGGAGACCUCCUGGGAAGCUAAGGUUGCUGCUGGAA
rnacentral:rRNA from 1 species